AACUCACCUUCAUGCUACAUCUCGGCAAAUACAGCUCAUAUCCAGACACGGUGCUGCCCUUGACAGCUGGGUCCGCAAAGGCAGAUCAAUGUUCUGCCAAUUGAAUGGAAACUGUCCAUAGUGGGGAGCAGAGAGCCUCAUCUUUUCUGGAACUGAACAUCCGUCCUUAAGGCCAGAUUUCUCCCACCACCAACUUUAACUCCUGC
rnacentral:lncRNA from 1 species